rnacentral:lncRNA from 1 species
GGCCAACAGUGCUAGUGCCCAUUCCCUUCCUGUCCCUUCAGCCCCCUCCUCCUCCAGCCUGCCAUCAGCUCCCUCUCUCUGAAGGUCUCUCAGGAUUCAGGAACCAGGGAACCUCAGAGAUCACAUUUCUCGUUUCUGCCUAGCUGGGGGUGAGACAAGGGAUCUCAGGGGUCCCAUACAGGAAUUUAUUAAUCGAUGGACAAGUUAAAAGUGGAAAAAGACCAACACUUUAGAGAGUAAUCCCUUAGGGCCAGAUGGCCAUCUGCAGCCCUUCCUAUGCCUUUUUAGACUGGAACAAAAUGAAGGCUGCUGCCUGCACUGCCCAAAUCUUUUGAUUCCCAACUUGGCAGAGCUCUCUGGGGGCUUCUCACCCCUCCCUUUGCCUCUGAGCAGGGUGAUUCUUCAGACAGCCCAAACCCCAAAUCUCCUUCCGGAAAGAGGAAAUAGGAGCAUAGAGCCAGAGUUAAUGCAGGGUUCGCGGUUAAGCAGUGCCUAUCCUAAGCUUAAUGAGUGUUGGUGCUCUUCCAGAAGAGUUUUCACAGACUUACAUCUCCUAAUGGGCUCCUUCAGUGGGCAGAGCUGCAAGUACAUACACCUGUGGUCACAGCUGACAGCUUCCCUCCUUUCUCCUCCAGCAACAGACAUAAAUCCCUAGAAAGGACUCCAAGUAGGUCUUCAGUUCAGGCCUAUCAGGUCAACUUGAGAGGAGAGACAGAGAGAGAAAGAGAAAAAGAGAACAGCUCCAUGUGGCUCCAGCAUGAUCUGCCGCGAAUUCCAAGACAGAGAGCAGAUGAUGCCAAUCUAUGGGCAAGGCCCAGUUUGGUGCCACAGUCCACCGAGAGGUUUCUUUGCCUCUGAUUUCUUUGGUGGGAAAUCAAGGUCCAGAUUGCCUCUGGCCCUGUAAGGAUUGGAGCAAGACAGCCAGGAGAGGAAGGAGUAUACAAGCCACCAUGGAGAUGAACUUCCUGAGGAGAAGUCAUGCCAACACUGGUUUAUCCAAUUCUCCCAGCCUACCAUACCCCCAUGGUCACCGCUGACUGGAUCACCAAGUAAAAGCAUCAGGAACCCUACCAUCCUCCCUGCACGUCACCCAGACUGAGCCUCUGCUCCCAGCAGGCCGGGCACCUGUGGGCCACAAGAAACUCAAACUAUGGCUCCCCGCUUCCCCGGCCUCCCACCCCACUGGACGGAUAAGCGAAACCACUGCUUGUGCUGCCCGGGGACAGUACUCCCAGUAUGCCUUGCACCUGAAGGACAUGAGGGACUCAAGCUGUGGCAGCAAAAGACCACUUAAGGCUGAAGUCACUUGGGAGGUUUGGCCGUGACUGGACUCUGGGUGACCUUGAUGGCAGCACCUCAAGGGCCACACAGAUUCCCUUCACCACCCUGACACCUGUUGGGCUCUGAGCUUUGCCCUUUAUGUUGUUUUGUUGUUUGGAUUGUUUUCUUCUUUUCUCACGUCUGUCACCAUUGUUCUGUGAGCCCGGGGAGGACUGGGGACUGUACCUAAUUUGUAUAGCACUUUACACACAGUAGGUAGUUCAAUAAAUACUAUCACUACCACUCCUGCUACUAUUACCCUCUUCCAGAGAGAUGGUACUUUGACUCCAGAUGUAAAGCGACAACACCCGGACUGUACUAGGACAGAGGUACCACUGUGGCCUACAGGCAAACUGGCAAAUGGGCUCAGCCUGCUCACUGAACAGGGCAUAGGCAAAGGGGAGGCAAAGGCAGAGAGAAAGGUGGGGCACUGGUCCAGGAGGAAAGGGGGAGUGUACUUCUAAGAGGGCAUCUCUGUGACUGUUUAUGUGAAUGUGAUUGUGUUUCUAGUCAGUUUGGUAUGGUAUUACUAAACACUAUGUGCCAAGCACUGUGCUUAGAGGAGACAAAAUUGCUGUCCCAUAUGUUUCAGCCCCAUAGCACUUAUGUACAUAUCCAUAAUUUAUUUAUAUUAAUGCCUGUCUCCCUCUCUAGACUGUAGGCUCCUUGUGAUGAUGAUGGUAUUUGUUAAAUGCUUACUAUGUGCCAAGCACUGUUCUGGGCAGGGGAUGUCUCUACCAACUGUGUUGUACUGCACUACCCCAGGAGCUUAAUUUAGUACAGUGUCUGCACAUCCUAAGAAGUCAAU